AGGUGCAAUCAUACCAGUGUUAAUGCAUCAGAUCCAAUCAGAACUCCAUAGUUAAGCACGCUUGGGUUAGUGUAGUACUAGGAUGGGUGACCUCCAGGGAAGUCCUAGUGUUGCACCCU
rnacentral:rRNA from 1 species